rnacentral:rRNA from 1 species
ACUCCUACGGGAGGCAGCAGUGGGGAAUAUUGCACAAUGGGCGAAAGCCUGAUGCAGCCAUGCCGCGUGUAUGAAGAAGGCCUUCGGGUUGUAAAGUACUUUCAGUCGUGAGGAAGGGUGUGUAGUUAAUAGCUGCAUAUCUUGACGUUAGCGACAGAAGAAGCACCGGCUAACUCCGUGCCAGCAGCCGCGGUAAU